rnacentral:lncRNA from 1 species
UGAAGGCCAUCAUAGCUCUAACUUCCUGUGUGUAGUAAUACAAAAGAUAAGAUUAACAUGAAAAUGAAAGACAUAGUAGAAAAGCAUUGUAACAAAGGUAAGUAAAGUGUUUGUAAUACCCCAAAGGAUGUUGACAUAAAAUGUUUGUGCUCAUUACUGCCUUCCAAAUAAUUCAAAUAUAUGUAAACCAUAUUAAUCAACUAUAAACGAAAUUAAGUUAGCUUAGUCAUUUUCAAAAAAUAUUUUUCCUUAAACUUCUAUUUUUGUAAAACAUUUAUCAUUGCAACUAACACACCGCCAGGUCAAGGGCACUAUGGCCACUUAGGUAAUGCAUCUGUAGUCUAGUCAUAGAGUGUCCACCAUACAAACAUAAGACUUCCCUACAAUACAAAAGAAACGCAUACGCACAACACUAUAAAUGAGCAUAUGAAAUAAAUAAUAAAUGAAACACUAUAAAUGUAGUGGAAAUUGAAGUAAGGUAGUAUUCAUUCUCACAUUCGAUUUCUUGUAUCAUCAAAGACAUAAUCUGCAAUUUUAAAGUCAUCCUUGCUAAGGGUGUAUUUCGUUACACACUCAAGCACAAAUGCCAACUUGUAGAAUGCUACUCGCUGCCCGGUAUGUCGGAUUGCCAUAUUUGAUGGUAGUCUUCGAACAAGUCCACCUUUAUUGUCCAUUCUUUCUUCUUUGUUAGAUUAAGGACGUAUGAGGUUUGGAAUUGGGGGAUGUCAGAAUCAUCUUGUUGCCUUAGAGAUACGUGGUUUGAUGGUCUAGUAUCAUUGUCCCCUCAAACUAUUGCUUCAUCAAUA